AUGAGAGAAAAAGAAACACGUUAGUGUUCAUUUGCUAAUGAAAGGACUCUCUCCAGUUUUAAUUGGAUUAUUUUAGACCUGAAGGCUUCUUCUUCUGGGAAGGAGAGAUCCUGCACACUGAGCUCGUUGGAGGACACAGCUGCCACAAUGCAGAUCGUGGAACUGAAGUACUGCAACAUAAAGCACCGCAAUGAUGGUAGAAGUGGAACGAAACAGAGGAGAACUCGUACCCACAGGCCACAUAAAUCAAACCCAGAGAUGACAGAGUAGAAACUGAAGCCAAGCUGCACACAAACUACAGCUGACUGGAUGUGCAACAGUCUGGCCUCCCGGGGUCUCCUGUUGAAUUCGCUCUCUGCCUGUUCUCACUCCUCCAGCUGGUCUGUGGAGAGCGAGCAGCUGCGACAGGUCACCCCUGAGGCUGGAGGAAGGGCUCUCCUGUGGGUGAAGUGUCC
rnacentral:lncRNA from 1 species